GUCAACAGAGUCGCCAAAGCAAUCCAGAAGCUAACCUCAAACCUCCGGGACAGGUUGAAGGAAUCCAUCCGGAACUAGCACGCCAUGGCACUGCAAGUUCCCUCGGAACGGAACAGCUGUACACGGGAACAGACUUGAAGGCGGCCACGAUGGAUGAGGUGCUACACUACCGCGCCCUGGUCUAGAUCAAUCGAAAAUGGUCGAACGAUGACUUGACCUGGACGACGAAACAACAACAUCUCAACAACAAAGACUAAUCGCAACCGCCUGUCUGUGGUAUGAAAGACUCUUAAACAAAGUGUCUUAGAUCAAGUCCAUCAUAAAGUGCACCAACCAACCUUGCGGCGCGAGGAUCCCCGAGGUUCUCUGAACGCCGCGGCGUUGUGCCUCGUUGAAUACCUCUGUAACGCCCUAGACAGAACCAGCCGUUUCCCCGGGCAAAAGACCAGUGACAAGUUCUACAAAGACAGCGGAACUGGCCUCAAAUGCCUACCCGAAACCCUUCACGUUGCGAUACCUUUCGGAAAACUCCCAGGCAGGCGUUUGUGUUAUUCAGUUACCCGGAUCUUGCCUGAAGCUGCCGUUUGACCAGCGCGUGUUUUUUUCCGCCACGAGAUUAACAAAGCUUGUCGAAUCUCCACAAACGGUCCACGUUGCAGAAACAUUGACCCAAAGGGUGGCCAUUUCUGGUUCAAUACUGGAGAUGUCGGUUGAUGGUAUUGUCACACGGUACUGCAAGUACCCUCGGAACGACGCUACCCGGUUACAGACGACGGGUGAAGUUCUGCACUGACACGUCCAGAUUGGCAAAUCAGAACAAGUCCACGUUCCUGGAACUUUUCCCCCGGCCUCUAUCCGGAAAUGACACCUGCUGGUUGUCUGCUGGUUGAUUUCGGCCGCCAUCCGGCUUAAGAACCGCCGAAACAGAGUAGCGAAUGAAGGUUCCGUGGAAACGUUCAGCACGAAGACUAAAUCCCGGCUUAACGUGAGUGUGGGUAGCCGGACACGAUGAACACAACACGCAUAUGCAUCGUCCGCAGGCGUGCCGGAAGCUUAUCUGUCCAUCCGGGAAAUGCGCAAUCGAUCGAUUACGAACAUGCCUGCCUCAAACUGUCCGCAGCGCUGCCCAACAGCACUUCUGCUGAAACGACCCCGCGGCAGGGUCCCCAGAAGCAGCCCAGCUGGAUGGUUCCAACGAGACACGACCUCACAAGGUCGUGCUUCACAGAGUACCUCCGUUACCGAGCAUAAACUUUGACUUCGGAGACUGUAUCAUUUUGUCUCGGAUCAAAACUUUGGCCUCGUAGUGGUUUGGCCUGGUGGUCCACCUGAGAGGUGGCCAAUUAGCAGCCGGUGGCAGCGGACUCAGUGCUGAAGGUAGUCGGUUCUGCAUUCGCAACCGGCAAUAUGUUCCGUUGAAGCGAAUCCGCCUACGAGGACCGACGAGAAGUUGCAGUGCAUCGAGGCGAUCGCCAAGGACGACGAGUUUGAUUACAACCAGAAGCUACAGUAUUUGGACGAGGAGUCGGAUCCAAACCCGCAGAAGGAGAAGGCGCCGCAGGUCAGCAAGCAGCAGCUGCAACGCGAACGAUAAGAGCGUAAAUCGGCUGUCCGUAAACCUCCGCCUCCUUCGCAACAGAUUGGCAACGUCGGCGUCGAAGGUCAUGGACUGGAUGCCGAGGCCAAGGAACGUCUCAAGUUGCGUCGCGAGAACCAGCGAAGGAAGAUAAAACGUGACCAGGAAGCUUCAGGAGCAGCACGAUCGCUUCAGCAGCAGUGGCCGGAUGUCGGCCAACAAUUUCAAAAUCGCCCUGGCACUAGCACGCCCAAAUACAGAUCAAGCGGAACCGGUCCACGUUUCUAGAACUUUCCCUCAACUGCUAUCCGCAAAUGCCCCCCGGGAUGGCCAUGAUCUUGAAGGCAACGACGAAGGCAACGCUGCACGAAACUAACCCUGCAAGUGUCCUCGGAACAACGCUCGGAACGACGAACGUGUCCGGGUCCAGAUCAAUCGAUCCGGUCCACGAUCCUGGACUAUUGCUUUCAAAUUACGGUUCAUGCAAUCCGGAGUUGCCAUGUGUAACGGCAAUGAACUUUAAGGUUCCCUCGGAAAGAGGCAGUACGGAACAGGCUCGAUGGAUGGCCGCCAACCUGAAAGUGCCCUUGGAACGACAUUGAACGAAAUGGCUCGACGGUCGCUAACCUGAAAGUUCCCCAACGCUGCACGGAACAGGCUCGCCGGACGGUCAAUAAAACCUCCAAGGUUGGCCAACCAGCAGCAGCGAGACUAGCACUGGGAUCACGACGAUGAUCGGCGGGACUCUUCGUCGGCGGCGGCUCCCUUCAUGGAGCCGGAGAUAGUCGUUCAGCGGAUUCAACCAGAAGCUAGUUUUCAGACGACGAGUCGGAACCGAAUUCGCCGAAGGAUAUGCCGGGGCCAACUACAGCAACAACUUCACCAGCAGGAAGAGGACAGGGGGAUGGUUUGGAGUCGCGAAGUGGAACCCGAGCAGGACCGAGUGGAGCAGGAGCAAAGCGAACGCCAAGAGAAUGAAUCGGCCGUCCGUCAACAGCUGCCGCCCUCGCAACAGAAUGGCCAUGUCGCAUCAGAGGUCGUAGAAAAUGGACGCCGAGGCCAAGUACCGUCUCAAGUUGCGUGACGGCGGUGACAUGGUUCCUCGGAAAAACAGGCCGAUAUCGUCCGGAACUGGUACGCGGGACGACCAUGACAAUGCCAGCGAAGACAGCCAACAAGUGCCUUCGGAGCAACGAGUGUCCCCCCUUAACUGCAUUCCGGAACUGUCACGCCGGAAGGCCACGUCACUGCAGAUGCCUUCUGUACGACGCACCACGGAACAGGAUGAACAGGAUCGACGGACUGCUGUCGCGAUGCAAGUGCCCUUGGAACGGUCGUUGGACGAACGCGUCCAACUCCAAUUCAACCGGAGCAGGUUCCCCUCGUGUAGAGCAUUCCUUUGAACACCGUUUCUGCUGGGAACUCGUCCCAAUGUUGGUGAUGCGGAGGAGCUAAAGAAA